rnacentral:rRNA from 1 species
UACGUAGGGUGCAAGCGUUAAUCGGAAUUACUGGGCGUAAAGCGUGCGCAGGCGGUGAUGUAAGCCAGGUGUGAAAUCCCCGGGCUUAACCUGGGAAUUGCGCUUGAAACUAGCGGGCUUGAGUGUGGCAGAGGGGGGUGGAAUUCCACGUGUAGCAGUGAAAUGCGUAGAGAUGUGGAGGAACACCGAUGGCGAAGGCAGCCCCCUGGGUCAACACUGACGCUCAUGCACGAAAGCGUGGGGAGCAAACAGG